rnacentral:rRNA from 1 species
GAUGAACGCUGGCGGCGUGCCUAAUACAUGCAAGUCGAGCGAACAGAUGGAGCUUGCUCCUCUGACGUUAGCGGCGGACGGGUGAGUAACACGUGGAUAACCUACCUAUAAGACUGGGAUAACUUCGGGAAACCGGAGCUAAUACCGGAUAAUAUAUUGAACCGCAUGGUUCAAUAGUGAAAGACGGUUUUGCUGUCACUUAUAGAUGGAUCCGCGCCGCAUUAGCUAGUUGGUAAGGUAACGGCUUACCAAGGCAACGAUGCGUAGCCGACCUGAGAGGGUGAUCGGCCAAACUGGAACUGAGACACGGUCCAGACUCCUACGGGAGGCAGCAGUAGGGAAUCUUCCGCAAUGGGCGAAAGCCUGACGGAGCAACGCCGCGUGAGUGAUGAAGGUCUUCGGAUCGUAAAACUCUGUUAUUAGGGAAGAACAAAUGUGUAAGUAACUAUGCACGUCUUGACGGUACCUAAUCAGAAAGCCACGGCUAACUACGUG